rnacentral:rRNA from 1 species
ACUCCUACGGGAGGCAGCAGUGGGGAAUUUUGGACAAUGGGCGAAAGCCUGAUCCAGCCAUGCCGCGUGAGUGAAGAAGGCCUUCGGGUUGUAAAGCUCUUUCAGGUGAGAAGAAAUGGCGCUGUCUAACAUAUGGCGUCGAUGACGGUAUCACCAGAAGAAGCACCGGCUAACUACGUGCCAGCAGCCGCGGUAAUACGUAGGGUGCGAGCGUUAAUCGGAAUUACUGGGCGUAAAGCGUGCGCAGGCGGUUGUGUAAGACAGGUGUGAAAUCCCCGGGCUUAACCUGGGAACUGCGCUUGUGACUGCACGGCUAGAGUACGGCAGAGGGGGU